rnacentral:rRNA from 1 species
UAGGGAAUCUUCGGCAAUGGGGGCAACCCUGACCGAGCAACGCCGCGUGAGUGAAGAAGGUUUUCGGAUCGUAAAGCUCUGUUGUAAGAGAAGAACGUGUGUGAGAGUGGAAAGUUCACACAGUGACGGUAACUUACCAGAAAGGGACGGCUAACUACGUGCCAGCAGCCGCGGUAAUACGUAGGUCCCGAGCGUUGUCCGGAUUUAUUGGGCGUAAAGCGAGCGCAGGCGGUUUAAUAAGUCUGAAGUUAAAGGCAGUGGCUUAACCAUUGUUCGCUUGGGAAACUGUUAAACUUGAGUGCAGAAGGGGAGAGUGGAAUUCCAUGUGUAGCGGUGAAAUGCGUAGAUAUAUGGAAGAACACCGGUGGCUAAAGCGGCUCUCUGGUCUGUAACUGACGCUGAGGCUCGAAAGCGUGGGGAGCAAACAGG